rnacentral:rRNA from 1 species
CGGGACGGGUGAGUAAUGUCUGGGAAACUGCCUGAUGGAGGGGGAUAACUACUGGAAACGGUAGCUAAUACCGCAUAACGUCGCAAGACCAAAGAGGGGGACCUUCGGGCCUCUUGCCAUCGGAUGUGCCCAGAUGGGAUAGCUAGUAGGUGGGGUAACGGCUCACCUAGGCGACGAUCCCUAGCUGGUCUGAGAGGAUGCCAGCCACACUGGAACUGAGACACGGUCCAG